UUAUGAAUUGCUUAUCGAAUGUCCAACGUCUUGUUUGCUUCGUUUUGGGGGUGACUCCUCCAGGAGGGGAAAGGAGAAGAUGCAGCCAAAUCUUCAACUCUGAUUAGAAGCUUUGGCACGUCACCGAAAAUAGGAAGUGUGGGCCCGCCAAAUGUACGGAAGUCAACCUUUUUCAACGUGCUGACAAAGAGUCAGGCUGCUGCUGAAAAUGUCCCCUUCUUCUGCACCAUUGACCCAAAUGAAAGCAGAGUGGCCAUUCCGGACCAGCGCCAUGAUUCCCUCUGAAAUUUCCACAAACCGGUCAGGUGCAUUCGACGAUGAGGAUAUCAUCCAUGUUGAGGGGAGCGUGAGGGACAUGGAGAUCAUCCACGAGCAGCUGAGGGCUGAAGGACGAGAAGAUGACCAUUAGAGGCGGCGAGAAGAAACUGAAACCAGAAUACAGUAUGUAUCAUUCGGAGAGACGAAAGGCCACCAGCGUUUGACAGCUAAGGCGUUGCAGUUUUUGUACGUUGUUGGUUCCGUUGCCCACGGAUGGCCAGUUGACAUUGAAGCAGCGUUCCAGAAUUGUUGCCUGACAAAAGGCUGAUGAAAAUGAAGGAGUGGGAGGACGUUCACGAGCCGAGGUUGUUGGUCAUCUCUUUCAGCGGCGGCCUGGAGAGCGUGCUGCAAGAUGAGUCGAGAGGAGCACCCCGGGCAAGAUCAUCAAGGCAGGCAACGCUGCCCUGCACCUCGAGUACUUCUUCACUGCUGGACCUGAUGAGGUCUGUGGAUGGACUGUAUGGAAAGGAACUAAGGCUCCACAGGCGACCGGAAAGAUCUGCACAGACUUGGAGAAGGGCUUCAUUAUGGCGGCAGUAAUGAAAUUCCAGGAUUUUAAAGAGGAAGGCAGCAAGAGCGCUGUCAAGGUCAGAGGUCACCAAGAUGGUGCCCACAGUCACAUUGUGAUUUCCUAAGAAUGUUGUAGAGGCACCGGGGAAAUACAACAGGGACGGAACUGCACUGUUGGAGAAUGGAGAAAUCAUCUUUUUCAAAUUCAAUGCACCAAAUACACCCAAGAAAAAGUGACUCAAACAGUUAGCAUGACUGACUGUGCCAGCGCAGGUCUGACAAAUGCCGCCGCUGCACGCUCGCUUUCUGUCUCACGUCCUGUAGGACCAAAUCCCUCUCAGCGCCAAGGCGCGCAGGUUACCUCAACUCUGACAGCUUUUCUAUUCAAGAUCAGGAUCAGCCCCCUACUCCAAAUUGUAAGGAGCACAUUACUCUCCAGAUACUUCAUUAAUCUCCAUCAUGGCUGCUAGCACUGUCACAGCUGACAGCGGGGACAAUGCCACCUGCUCCUCUCCCCACUU